rnacentral:rRNA from 1 species
AGCGAACGCUGGCGGCAGGCCUAACACAUGCAAGUCGAGCGCCCCGCAAGGGGAGCGGCAGACGGGAGAGUAACACGUGGGAACGUACCCUUCGGUUCGGAACAAGCCAGGGAAACUUGGGCUAAUACCGGAUACGUCCGAAAGGAGAAAGAUUUAUCGCCGGGGGAUCGGCCCGCGUAUGAUUAGCUGGUUGGUGGGGUAACGGCCCACCAAGGCGACGAUCAGUAGCUGGGCUGAGAGGAUGAUCAGCCUCACUGGGACUGAGACAUGGCCCAGACUCCUACGGGAGGCAGCAGUGGGGAAUAUUGGACAAUGGGCGCAAGCCUGAUCCAGCCAUGCCGCGUGGGUGAUGAAGGCCCUAGGGUUGUAAAGCCCUUUCGGCGGGGAAGAUAAUGACGGUACCCGCAGAAGAAGCCCCGGCUAACUUCGUGCCAGCCGCCGCUGUAACAC